rnacentral:rRNA from 1 species
ACGUUAGCGGCGGACGGGUGAGUAACACGUAGGUAACCUACCUAUAAGACUGGGAUAACUUCGGGAAACCGGGGCUAAUACCGGAUAAUACAUGAAACCGCAUGGUUUCAUGAUGAAAGACGGUUUUGCUGUCACUUAUAGAUGGACCCGCGGCGUAUUAGCUAGUUGGUAAGGUAACGGCUUACCAAGGCAACGAUACGUAGCCGACCUGAGAGGGUGAUCGGCCACACUGGAACUGAGACACGGUCCAG